UCGAUGGGGAUGCGUUCCAUUAGUUUGUUGGCGGGGUAACGGCCCACCAAGACAUCGAUGGAUAGGGGUUCUGAGAGGAAGGUCCCCCACAUUGGAACUGAGACACGGUCCAAACUCCUACGGGAGGCAGCAGUGAGGAAUAUUGGUCAAUGGACGAGAGUCUGAACCAGCCAAGUAGCGUGAAGGAUGACUGCCCUAUGGGUUGUAAACUUCUUUUAUAUGGGAAUAAAGUGAGCCACGUGUGGCUUUUUGUAUGUACCAUACGAAUAAGGAUCGGCUAACUCCGUGCCAGCAGCCGCGGUAAUACGGAGGAUCCGAGCGUUAUCCGGAUUUAUUGGGUUUAAAGGGAGCGUAGGCGGAUUAUUAAGUCAGUUGUGAAAGUUUGCGGCUCAACCGUAAAAUUGCAGUUGAUACUGGUAGUCUUGAGUGCAGCAGAGGUAGGCGGAAUUCGUGGUGUAGCGGUGAAAUGCUUAGAUAUCACGAAGAACUCCGAUUGCGAAGGCAGCUUACUGGACUGUAACUGACGCUGAUGCUCGAAAGUGUGGGUAUCAAACAGGAUUAGAUACCCUGGUAGUCCACACAGUAAACGA
rnacentral:rRNA from 1 species